GGCCAUUUUGAAUUGUUUAAUUUUCCUGGGCAAUGACUAUUAAGAUCAGCAUUCCUCACGGGCAUGAAGUCUUGUGACAUCAUUAUGCAUAAGGUCAAAUGAGCAGUAUGAUGUCCGAAUUGGAACACACAAUUGUAUACGAAUGAAAAAUUAUCUGACUUUUUUCCAUAAUGGUCACAAUUUCUUUCUUAUUAUAUAGUUUUGCAGUUCUGACUGAGUACAAUCUUAAUCGUUUAUACAAUGAAUGGUGUCAUAUGAAGCUGACAUAUUAAACAAUUACAAUCUUAAUCAUUUAUACAAUGAAUGGUGUCAUAUGAAGCUUACAUUAUUAAUACCUGGUUCACACUGGUCGUAAGAAUCGGGGAUUUCCAUUGUCUGUGAUCAUUGGUGUGUAAAAUGCUUUGUCUGUUGGAAAAGAAUACAAUAGAUCUCCGAUAAUUUACGACCAGUGUGAACCAGGCUUAAACAAAAAUGUCAACAUUGAAAUAGAUUUUGUCUCUCCAUCGGCAGAUUGUUCAGUUGUUCUGUGGUAGGGGUAGCCUUGAAGGUGCCAUUAAAAUGAUAAUAGGGAUAAAAACUGACUUACAG